AUCCAGCUGACGUGUCCCAAAUAGGACAAAACAUGCAUCCUGGAU
rnacentral:hammerhead_ribozyme from 1 species